rnacentral:rRNA from 1 species
UACAGAGGGGGCAAGCGUUGUUCGGAAUUACUGGGCGUAAAGGGCGCGUAGGCGGCCUGCUAAGUCGAACGUGAAAUCCCUGGGCUCAACCCAGGAACUGCGUCCGAUACUGGUUGGCUUGAAUCCGGGAGAGGGAUGCGGAAUUCCAGGUGUAGCGGUGAAAUGCGUAGAUAUCAAGAGGAACACCUGCGGCGAAGGCGGGUUGCUGGGCCGACACUGACGCUGAGGCGCGAAAGCUAGGGGAGCGAACGGG